rnacentral:rRNA from 1 species
GGCGUGCCUAAUACAUGCAAGUCGAGCGGACUGAUGGGAGCUUGCUCCCAUCAGUCAGCGGCGGACGGGUGAGUAACACGUGGGUAACCUGCCUGUAAGACUGGGAUAACUCCGGGAAACCGGGGCUAAUACCGGAUAACUCAUUUCCUCGCAUGAGGAAAUGUUGAAAGGUGGCUUUUAGCUAUCACUUACAGAUGGACCCGCGGCGCAUUAGCUAGUUGGUGAGGUAACGGCUCACCAAGGCGACGAUGCGUAGCCGACCUGAGAGGGUGAUCGGCCACACUGGGACUGAGACACGGCCCAGACUCCUACGGGAGGCAGCAGUAGGGAAUCUUCCGCAAUGGACGAAAGUCUGACGGAGCAACGCCGCGUGAGUGAUGAAGGUUUUCGGAUCGUAAAACUCUGUUGUUAGGGAAGAACAAGUACCGUUCGAAUAGGGCGGUACCUUGACGGUACCUAACCAGAAAGCCACGGCUAACUACGUGCCAGCAGCCGCGGUAAUACGUAUGUGGCAAGCGUUGUCCGGAAUUAUUGGGCGUAAAGCGCGCGCAGGUGGUUUCUUAAGUCUGAUGUGAAAGCCCACGGCUCAACCGUGGAGGGGUCAUUGGAAACUGGGGGAACUUUGAGUGCAGAAGAGGAGAGU